rnacentral:rRNA from 1 species
UACAGAGGUCCCAAGCGUUGUUCGGAUUUAUUGGGCGUAAAGGGUGCGUAGGCGGCGGAGUAAGUUGGGUGUGAAAUCCCGGGGCUUAACCUCGGAAUUGCAUUCAAUACUGCUUCGCUCGAGUACUGGAGAGGAGGCUGGAAUUUACGGUGUAGCAGUGAAAUGCGUAGAUAUCGUAAGGAAGGCCGGUGGCGAAAGCGAGCCUCUGGACAGUUACUGACGCUGAUGCACGAAGGCCAGGGGAGCAAACGGG